rnacentral:rRNA from 1 species
UCGACGCUGAAGCUUGGUGCUUGCACUGGGUGGAUGAGUGGCGAACGGGUGAGUAAUACGUGAGUAACCUGCCCUUGACUCUGGGAUAAGCCUGGGAAACUGGGUCUAAUACUGGAUAUGACCUCCUGUCGCAUGGUGGGGGGUGGAAAGGGUUUGUACUGGUUGUGGAUGGGCUCACGGCCUAUCAGCUUGUUGGUGGGGUAAUGGCCUACCAAGGCGACGACGGGUAGCCGGCCUGAGAGGGUGACCGGCCACACUGGGACUGAGACACGGCCCAGACUCCUACGGGAGGCAGCAGUGGGGAAUAUUGCACAAUGGGCGCAAGCCUGAUGCAGCGACGCCGCGUGAGGGAUGACGGCCUUCGGGUUGUAAACCUCUUUCAGCACGGAAGAAGCGAAAGUGACGGUACGUGCAGAAUAAGCGCCGGCUAACUACGUGCCAGCAGCCGCGGUAAUACGUAGGGCGCAAGCGUUGUCCGGAAUUAUUGUGCGUAAAGAGCUCGUAGGCGGCUUGUCCCGUCUGCUGUGAAAGCCCGGGGCUUAACCCCGGGUGUGCAGUGGGUAUGGGUUUGACUUGUGUGCAGAAAGGGAGACUGUAACUCCUGGUGU